rnacentral:tRNA from 1 species
GGUGAGGUCCGCCUGCAGGCAGGGGCAGCGGUCUGCUGAACCGUCGGCCGGGAUCCCCCGGUCCGCGAGUUCGAAUCUCGCUGCCACCG